UACUUAGAAAUUUUAAACUUAGGUAUUCUUAACAUAUUGAAAUUACAAGAAACUAUUAAAGAACAAGCAGAAAUUCUAUACUUGCAUAUUCCUAACAGUGAGAAUCAUAAAAGACUACCAAAGAAACAAUACAAUGAGAGGAUGGAUGUUUGAUAUGAGUUAAUCACAUGCUAGCACGUAUGAUAUGAAAAUUGGAAGACAAAUUAACUACUAAGUUAAACUUGAAGGUCUUAUUAAGGUGUUGGGCCUUAAUUUAACUUCUUUCAAACAUAUUGUAAGCGGUCAUCAUUAACUUCAUUUCUUAUUUAGAUAUAUAUUGAAACUUGCACGUAUGGGGAACAUUUUGGCUUGAAGCCAAUCUACCCAGCUUCUGCAUCAUCCCCACGCAGCUCUGCAAUCAUUGUGGAGCUGCCAGAAGUGAGUUGAGAUGUUGGACUAUUAUAUUGCUGCACCACCAGGACAGAUGCUGAAGUUGAAAAAUCAUGAGAAGUCAGGAGGUUGCCCACAGGACCCAGUUCAGGCCAUUCAACCUUUUCAGUCAAAGUUGCAGCUACAGAACCCUCAGGCAUUCGACCUACAACGAACAGAUUGCACCGACUGAACGCCUUAACUACUUCAACAAUUUCUUUAGCACUAUUCACUUCUCUCUCUUCAAAUUUGACAGAGUCGUCAUCUGAAUUCUUCUUGAAGAUAGCUAGAAAUGUUUUAUCGGCUGAAUCAGAUGAAUUACUGAAUUCCGCCGUUAUAUCAAUUUUGACCAUCUGCCGCAAGAUAUCAUUGCUUGCUGUGAAGUGAAUGACAAUUAAACUGACUCCAGGGUGCUCAGCCAUUCUUGCUCCAUAAGAAAGGGCUUCACGAUCAUCAUGUCCACCAAAAAAUAAGACUGUUACAGUGGAGGAAACAUUGCUUGCAGAUACAUGUGUGCUUCCACCCAACCCACGAUCCACCAAAAUUCCAACUGAGCAUGGAGCGUGCUCAAGAACCCUCAUAUUGACCCAACGAAAUUCAUUUCUAGUUGUCUCUAAUGUCCCAUCCAACCUCUGAUGCUUGUGGAAUGGGAGGAUUAUAAUUGCAGCCCUUUUCCUUUCAGCACUUGUGCAGAUAUCCUCGUACAUGUCAUGCAUUGCUGAGAUUGCUGUCAUUGGUCGAAUAAACACGCGGUUCAGCUGCCUAAAAGCCUCAAAAGCAACAACUACUUGGUUGUCAUCAGACUGCUGCAACUUAUUCCAAAAGGGAAGUCCAUUCUUUCUUGCCUUAUGGACCAUAAGGAUUGCAGAUGUCCUCUCAGAAAGCUCCAUAAGGUGCAGUGCAUAGACACAGAGUCCUUGCCUCUUCUCAGUUCCACGUGAAGCCUCAAUGAGAUUGAUAAUUGUAGGAAUGUUCAAUGUACUAUGGAAACAUACCAAAAUUCGAAGCUGAGUAUCUGGGUCUUCUCUUUCAAUUGUUCUGUGCUUAUAAUCAGCACUAAUCGCUUGUUUAGCCGGCUUAUAUACCGCUACAACUAUAGGUGUUGUGAUAAAGGUUGUGAAGAUAGCCAUCAGAACACAGAUAGCAAAUGUUUGAUCAUUCAGGACCUUUCGAUCUUUACCUAUGUUGAGGACAACAAGCUCCACCAAGCCUUUAGUAUUCAUCAAGAACCCCAGAGUUAUAGCUUCCUGAACAGGGAUUCGCAACAAGAGAGAGACAACUAGAGUCCCAACUAUCUUCCCAAAACAGGCUGUAAAUAUGACUAAAACCAGUAAACCCCAUGAUUGAGUCCCUCGAAUGGUGGCUACAUUGGUCUUCAAUCCACUAGAGACAAAGUACAAUGGAAGGAAGAGACCAGAUACAAGAUCUUCAACUUUUUCAACAAGAGCGCCAGAAAAUGGUCCCUCUUUUGGGAUAAGAAUUCCAAUCACAAAUGCACCAAAAAGUGCAUGAAUUCCAAUAGAAUCAGUGCAAAACCCCGCUGCCAAAACAGUAGCUAAUGUAGCACAGACAUACAUUUCAUUUACUGGCUCACCCUGAGGACAACGAUGUGCUAUCCAUUUGAAGACAGGUGGGAUAAUGGCUAUGCUAAAGAUGAUAAAUCCAGCCCCAGACAAAAGCACCCAUAAAGAUGUGAGGGGUGAAUGUUCAGAUCCAGAGAGGACAAUGGCAAGAGCAAGCAAAAUCCAUGCUGCAACAUCAUUUACUGCUGCUGCUGACAUUGCAAUUUGACCAACAUCAGUAGUUAAAAGCUUGAGUUCUGCCAAAAUACGAGCCAAGACAGGGAAAGCAGUGAUUGAAAGGGCCACCCCCAUGAAUACAAGGAAUGGAGCUGCUUUAACACCUUCAGAGAUAGUUUUAUGGAGAAAAAAUGAUACUCCAGCUCCUAAUACAAAGGGUAAGCUAAUUCCUGCAACAGCAAUGGCUAAAGCUUUUUUUCCUGUCCGUUGAAGGGACUUCAGGUCUAGCUCAAGGCCAACAAGGAACAGAAAGAAAAGGAGACCAAGAUUGGCUAAAGUGUCUAACACUACGAGGCUUCUGGAUGGGAAAAUGCUAUUGACAUAGUUCUUGUUCCGACCCAGAGCUGAUGGUCCCAGCAGUAUGCCUCCAACAAUCUCAGCGAUGACACGCGGCUGUCGCAAUGGCCUUAGAAGAAAAGCAAGAAUACGAGUGAGCACGACCACUAAAACAAUCUGUAUGAUGGCAAGUGGCAGUGCAUAAUCAAGAGGAUUAUCCCCCUGGAAGAUCCCGUUGGAUGUAGCUUUCAUGGGUGUGGGACACGAUGCUUCUGUUGCAUUGGAAGCCAUUUUUUCCUUUUCUUCAAAUCACAAAGAAACACAGAAAUUCACACUCUCUUUGCCAAUACGUGGUUCACGUGUGCGGGUGACGGAUUGGCCGGGUGGAGUUUGCGGUGACAAGCAGAGAAUCUGGUGGUCACCGUGAUAGUCACCACACGUAGAAAUGGUGGUUGAGUUGGGCGAAUUGAAGCCCGCAAGUUCCGUCCCCAAAAUCUGCGAUUCUCUUUCUUCGUCGUUCAAAUCCUGCGUUUUCUACGUGAAAACUCUAUCACUAGUUCCAACAACUUCUUCUUAACUGUCUUCUGACUUCAGUCUGUGAGUAUGGGAGUGUGGGACCAGUCAUCCCCGCUAAGCGAUUUGCUCUGCGUGUGUGGGACUAGUCAUCCCCGCUAAGCGAUUUGCUCUGCGU
rnacentral:misc_RNA from 1 species